rnacentral:rRNA from 1 species
UACGUAGGGGGCAAGCGUUGUCCGGAAUCAUUGGGCGUAAAGAGCGUGUAGGCGGCCCGGUAAGUCCGCUGUGAAAGUCCAGGGCUCAACCCUGGGAUGCCGGUGGAUACUGUCGGGCUCGAGUCCGGAAGAGGCGAGUGGAAUUCCCGGUGUAGCGGUGAAAUGCGCAGAUAUCGGGAGGAACACCAAUGGCGAAGGCAGCUCGCUGGGACGGUACUGACGCUGAGGCGCGAAAGCGUGGGAGCAAACAGG